UGGAUAGCAACUGUUCCAGAUGCUAAUGCUGUAGACCCCGGAGCAUGUCUCGCAAGAUGUGCCACGAAAUGUCGAAGUAAUGAACAUUAUUACCGCGAGGGAUGGUGUGGUGGUGGAAAACGCUGCUGUGUUCCCCGGACACAUCUGUGAAGGAAGACUGUGUGGAUCAAGCAUCAUGCAUUAUUGUUUUUUCUUCUUCUUCCAUUUAAGUUUAGUUAAAAGCAGUCAGACCCUUACACAAGACAUGGAUUCAUCAUGAUUUGUAUUUAAGCCUGUUUGAUGCCAGUUUGAAUAAAAUCAAAUUUCACAA